rnacentral:rRNA from 1 species
UGCACACGCGAAAUCCGGUUGAUCCUGCCGGAGGCUACCGCUAUUGGAGUUCGAUUAAGCCAUGCGAGUCCAGAGCUUUCGGAGCUCGGCGUACCGCUCAGUAACACGUGGGUAACCUAACCUAUGCAGGGGAAUAACCUCGGGAAACUGAGUAUAAUGCCCCAUAGUCCACUACGCCUGGAACGGUGAGUGGAUCAAAGCUCAGGCGGCAUAGGAUGGGCCUGCGGCGUAUCAGGUCGUAGGGGGUGUAAAGUACCCUCUAGCCAUCUACGCGUACGGGUGUUGGGAGACAUAGCCCGGAGAUGGAUUCUGAGACACGAAUCCAGACCCUACGGGGUGCAGCAGGCGCGAAAACUUGACAAUGCGAG